UCUUACCCACUGAGCCAUCUCACCAGCCCAUGAAUAGAGUUUUAAUAACUCUUUUAAACGUGACUUCCAAGUUUGGUUCUGUGUUUUCUGGGAUUUUUUUUUUUUUUUUCUUUUUCCCACUAAACUUUUGAAGAAGGGUAUAUUUAGUUAGGUUCUCUUUAUGCAACUAAAUGAGUCCUACAAUUUUGGACAUUAUUAUUUCUGGUUGAGCUCAGUGAUGAUGAAUGUCAUGGUAUAACCUCCCCUAAACUGGAUCACAGCAAAAACAUAGGACAUUGUACACCAAAGAACCUUGGGCUGCAGACCGUUCAGUGUAUGGGAGGAAGGACAGCCUGCUAUUGUGCUCUUCAAUGCUUAGCAGAUGUUCUAUGAAUUAAUAUUGCUCCUCAGUUAUCUCUGACAGAAGCAAGAUCUGGAUAAGGUCAAAAUGCACAUUGAUCUUGGUAUCACAAGGCUAUUUAAGCCAGCCAGACAAGGAAAAGGCUGGCAGUGAAUUGUUAGAUUAAAAAAUAAAGGUAGUUAAUAAUAGAAUAGCCUCCAUGCCUCGGUUUUGUUUUCUGUAUGCUAAUUUUAAAUUGCUUUUGGGGAGGCCCUAUGUAAAAAAUAGUUUCAGAACAUGAAGUUCUGUGGUAUAUGAAUAUUCACACAAUUCAUAAACAACACAUAAUUCAUAAACACACAAUUCAUAAACAUGUGGUGUUCCUGCCCAAGGGUCAGGGUUGAUAGCAUGAGCUCUUAAGGCAGCUACUGCAGUUUGCUGGAGUUUUAAGGAUUUGAGUUUGUAGUUUUGUAAGGCAGUUUUUAAAGAAAGAUGUUGAUUUAUUCAAUGAUUUUGCUUGAGCUUUGCAUAAUUAGAAUCUUGUUAUUAUAAACAAAGGCUUUUGUGUCGUGGUGUGGUGUAUUGUGAGUUACUUAGUCAGAUUCAGGCUCAGCUGAGAAAGAGAAAUUACCAUGGGGAAAGAGAAUUACCACAGAUGGACAGACAAGUGUCCUAAAAUUUGAUUAAUCUCUGUUUAAAACAAAUGGUUUAUCAGGUUCCGGCAAGACUGCUCUGCAAGUAAGUACAGUCCUUGCUGUGCAAGUCUGCUGACUUUCCUGAGAAAUACAGAUGUUGUUUAUGAAUUGUGUGAAUAUAAUCUGGUGAUUUGACACCAUAGCCUUUUUUUUUUUUUUUUUUUUUAAAGAUUUAUUUAUUUAUUAUAUGUAAGUACACUGUAGCUGUCUUCAGACGCACCAGAAGAGGGCAUCAGAUCUCAUUACGGGUGGUUGUGAGCCACCAUGUGGUUGCUGGGAUUUGAACUUCGGAUCUUUGGAAGAGCAGUCGGGUGCUCUUACCCACUGAGCCAUCUCACCAGCCCCACCAUAGCCUUUUAUGCUGCCCAUUUACUACAUAGAUUUUCUAUGGAAACUUAUAAUCCUGGAUUGACAGCUUUUGUCUGCAGGUUUUUUUUGUUUUUGUUUUUAAAUAGCAUUAUCUCUCAAUUCUUAUUGUUCAUGGAUAUCUUUUAUUAAUAGUAUGCUCUGCAGAAAUUAUAAAGUACAGCAUAUAUAUGAAUCAUUGGGUCAAUACUUGUUGUUUGGGCUGCUGGUCCUCCCCCCCCCCCCCCCCCCCCAUCUUGAAAAUAAAAUUUAUUGAGAGAGACAAAGUCACUGUAGGUGUAAAAAAGAAAAAAAAACUCAUCUGAUUCACAGGGGCUGUGAGUGUUCUGGUUUGGGGGUUGUGGUGUGAACUGUAGCUGUUUACCUGGCUCGGUGGCUUUUCUAUUGCUUUCUUGGGGGCUACUCAUGAAGUUUCUAGUUACUGCCUUGUCUAAGUCUUAAAGCCUUAUAUUCCACUUAAUUACCUAUACAUGUAUACAGGUUUAUCUCCAUUCCAUUUAAAAACUACAGGGUUAUAAUUUAGUUUAAUAUUUAUGCAAGGACCAUUUACCUGAAUGGCCUGGGAAAUUGCCACUCUAAGCUCUCUCCUCUUAAUUCAACUCAUUGUGGUUUAGGAUCAUUGUAUACAUGUAUUGCUUGAUUUAUUUAGCUUUUGUUAAUUUGUCUGGGAACUUACAGCCCCCAAAGUAUGAAGGUCUGGACAGGUCCUUCCUGCUUGUUGCCUGUAUGAUUGGGAAAGAGUUUUCCAUCUGAAUGAGUGUGUGGGAAAAUUGUUCAAUGUCUUAAGAGGAAUUUUUCUCUUUCUCCCCCUCUCCUUCCCCUUCCAUUUGUUUAUUUUGGUGUUAGUAAGCACAUAUGACAUGCAUGCAGUGCCCAUGGAGGCCAGAAGAGGGCAUAGAGCUGCAGUUUCAGAUUGUUGGAAACUGCCUUGGAGCAAGAAGUUUUGUUAACGGUGUCUAGUUUCUCAGUGGAUGGGUUGUAUGUAUGGUAUAGUUUCUUGGUUGCUUAAUGCAGAGAGAUUAAGCUGGAGGAAAGCUGGACUCUUCUUUCUUGCUGUCCAGCUUUAUGGUUGUCUUUAAGAUCAUCCCCAGCCCUCUUGAAAGAACAUUUAUUUCAUAGGUGCCUGCAAUGCAUCUUGAUCAUAUCUACCCUCUACCUGGAUUUUCCACUUAAAUUACAGAACCCUCUCCUACCUUCGUGUCUGUUAAUCUUUUUCUCCAUGGGUAACCCACCGAGAAUAGUUAGUUCUGCCUCCUGGAAUAUGGACUAACCUUGACUUGAUCUUGUCCAGGUAAUCAUAAUUGUACCAAGGACCAUGACAUGUCCUGAAGGCACCAUUUCCCCACACUCCUCCCCAUAGUUAUAGAUAUUCCGUGUAGGAAAACGUAUACAGCAGUCACUUCCUCUCAAUACUUGAGCAGUGAUGAGGCUUUCCAUAAACUGCUGCCUGCUGCUGAAGCUCCUUUGCUUGUCAAGGCUGAGAGUAGCACGCAUCUGUAGGUAUCAGUAUUUAGAAGGCAACCUGAGAGUGCAUUUACUAAUCACUAGUAGGCUCCCCUUCAAUGUCUGUAACCUCUGAAGCUACGGGCCUCUGACUAAGUUUUCACAGUACCAGACCUAAAUUAUAUCUGUGGAACGUGUUUCCAAUUCAUUAAAUGGUUACCCCUACAACUUUGCCUGCAGUUAUUGAACAGUGGCCAUUGCAAGGCACUGGAUCGUAGUCUUCAAAGUUCAUCACUGAGUAAUGCUCUCCCAGUGGUGUGGAUAGCUUUGCUACUAUGGAAGGUAGCCUUCAGGGAGGAAGGUUAUAUAGGUCACUUCUGACUUCAUUUUUCUGUCUUGCCUCCAAAUUGUGUUCUGUGUCUUUAACAGUAGGUUUUUGGGGGAGGGGGCACAUAAGGAGGUGGCCCACACUUGGCACUUAAUGCUUUCAUGGGGUGCAUGGGUCCUGUGUUCAAAUUUUUUUAUUUUUGGUUUUGCAAAAGACAGGGCGUUUCUGUGUAGCACUUGCUGUCCUGGAAGUUUCUCUGUAGACCAGACUGGCCUCAAACUUAGGGCCACUACCACCUGAAUAUGAAGAUAUUUGAGUUAACUUAAAGC
rnacentral:lncRNA from 1 species